UCGAGAAUUUUUCACAAUGGGGGAAACCCUGAUGGAGCGACGCCGCGUGGAGGACGAAGGCCUUCGGGUCGUAAACUCCUGUCAUGCGGGAACAAGAAAGUGAUAGUACCGCAAGAGGAAGAGACGGCUAACUCUGUGCCAGCAGCCGCGGUAAUACAGAGGUCUCAAGCGUUGUUCGGAUUCAUUGGGCGUAAAGGGUGCGUAGGUGGCGAUGUAAGUCUGGUGUGAAAUCUCGGAGCUUAACUUCGAAAUUGCAUUGGAUACUGCGUUGCUUGAGGAUUGUAGAGGAGAGUGGAAUUCACGGUGUAGCAGUGAAAUGCGUAGAUAUCGUGAGGAAGACCAGUUGCGAAGGCGACUCUCUGGGCAAUUCCUGACACUGAGGCACGAAGGCCAGGGGAGCAAACG
rnacentral:rRNA from 1 species